rnacentral:sRNA from 1 species
CAUGCCCCUUAUACGCUGGGCUACACACGUGCUACAAUGGGUAGAACAGAGAGUCGCAAAGCUGUGAAGUGGAGCUAAUCUCAGAAAACUAUUCUUAGUUCGGAUUGUACUCUGCAACUCGAGUACAUGAAGUUGGAAUCGCUAGUAAUCGCGAAUCAGCAAUGUCGCGGUGAAUACGUUCUCGGGUCUUGUACACACCGCCCGUCACACCACGAGAGUUGGUUGCACCUGAAGUAGCAGGCCUAACCGUAAGGAGGGAUGCUCCGAGGGUGUGAUUAGCGAUUGGGGUGAAGUCGUAACAAGGUAUCCGUACGGGAACGUGCGGAUGGAUCACCUCCUUUCUAAGGAGAAUAUGUCUUUCUCUAUUCUAUUGGUAAUGUUCUUAGAACAUUGUGCUGAACAUUGGAAACUAUAUAGUAGAACAAACAAGAAAAAAAAUUAACUCUAACAAUUUCUUAGAGUUAGCUGUCAAAAAAAAUAGGUUAAAAUAAUUAAGGGCACACAAAGGAUGCCUAGGUAGUAAGAGCCGAUGAAGGACGUGGUAAGCUGCGAUAAGCCUAG